GGCAGACGGGUGAGUAACGCGUGGGAACAUACCCUUUCCUGCGGAAACAACUCCGGGAAACUGGAGCUAAUACCGCAUACGCCCUUCGGGGGAAAAGAUUUAUCGGGGAAGGAUUGGCCCGCGUUGGAUUAGGUAGUUGGUGGGGUAAAGGCCCACCAAGCCGACGAUCCACUAGCUGGUCUGAGAGGAUGAUCAGCCACACUGGGACUGAGACACGGCCAGACUCCUACGGGAGGCAGCACGUAGGGAAUCUUGCGCAAUGGGCGAAAGCCUGACAGCAGACAUGCCAGAAGUGUAUGAUGAAAGGUCUUAGGAUUGUAAAAUACUUUCACCGGGGAAGAUAAUGACGGUACCCCGGGCAGAAGC
rnacentral:rRNA from 1 species